ACAUUGAGCGCUAAGUAUUUUAACAAUGAUUUAUUAACGCUAACAUAAUAAUUGUAAGCGUUAUUAAGAUACGCUGAUCAUUCUUGUAGGAUAGAGUCUCUGCAUAGAUUCGGCCACAUUCCGCGAUUCCCAUGAGACCUUGCGAUUAGUUUUCUCGUUGCAUCGCGUCAGUGGAGUUAUGUCGUUCUGUGUUUUUCCGAAUUUACGUGUCUAACCGACUCGUUCAGGUGAGUGAGUACCGUUAGUGUCGAAUAACGUCUUGAGAGUAUCGAAUAAGGGUAUCGAGCGAUCGUUAUUACGCGUUUAAUUAACGUGUCGCGAUCGGUAUGAAUUUGUUUCGCGAUUGUGUGUGUGUAUGUACUCGAUCAUAACCUAUCUCGCCGAUAGGACGAAGUUGUCCCGUUCGCGGGCGUUCGCCCGGAGAUCGAUGGCUCUCCGUAACCGGAGAUUGAUCACUGAAAAUCAAAGAGGUGGCUACGCUUGCUUUCUUAAAAAAAAGGCCGGGGAAUUUUUCGUCUGCCGGAGAUUCAUUUGAAAAGCUGGACUCUCCGGUCGAAAACCGGAAGAAGCCUUUUUCAGAGAAAGAAAUUCAAUCGGAGACUCCGGCUUUUUUUAACCCAAUCUCCGGUAGGAAAGCCAGGUUAUUCUCAAAAUCUAGACAAUUUAGAUAGUAACGUUCGAAAUGAUUUGCGUAUUCGAGCUCGAUAUAUCAGAUGUGCCGACUGCCGUGCAAUGUAGAAUAAAAUCUCGGAAGUGUCAAGUAAAGUUUCGGGAGUGCCGAAUAAUGUCUCGGGAAUGUUGGACAAAGAAUAAAUAACGUUACGUCGGCCUUAAUUUCUCGUUUCUUUCAACGCCAACUGACGCUGCUACUGAUAUUGUCUUCAGGAUGCUCCAAUCUACAAGGUUCUAUUCUCGGAUGAAUAGGUUGAUGAGGGACGGUGUUGAUAACCACAAUUGACAUGAUCCGGCACGUGAGCUUGGUUACGUCGUGUACCAAUGAAGUGUCCUACAACGUAUACCUAGAUCCCAUUAGGCUCUAUCCAAUUCUGGCUUUGACAGCUGUCGAGUGAUACGCGU